rnacentral:tRNA from 1 species
GCGGAUUUAGCUCAGUUGGGAGAGCGCCAGACUGAAAAUCUGGAGGUCCUGUGUUCGAUCCACAGAAUUCGCACCA